rnacentral:rRNA from 1 species
UUAGACGGUAGGGUAUUGGCCUACCGUGGCUAUGACGGGUAACGGGGAAUUAGGGUUCGAUUCCGGAGAGGGAGCCUGAGAAACGGCUACCACAUCUAAGGAAGGCAGCAGGCGCGCAAAUUACCCAAUCCUAAUACAGGGAGGUAGUGACAAGAAAUAACAAUACAGAACCUUACGGUUUUGUAAUUGGAAUGAGUUAAGUAUAAACCCCUUAACAAGUAUCAAUUGGAGGGCAAGUCUGGUGCCAGCAGCCGCGGUAAUUCCAGCUCCAAUAGCGUAUAUUAAAGUUGUUGCAGUUAAAAAGCUCGUAGUUAAUCUUCUGUUAAUUUUUAUAUAUAAUAUUUCGAUAUUUAUAUAAUAUUAACAUAAUUCAUAUUACUUUUUAGUAUAUGAAACUUUACUUUGAGAAAAUUAGAGUGCUUAAAGCAGGCUAUUGCCUUGAAUACUCCAGCAUGGAAUAAUAUUAAGGAUUUUUAUUCUUCUUAUUGGUUCUAGAAUAAAAAUGAUGAUUAAUAGGAACAGUUGGGGGCAUUUGUAUUUAACAGUCAGAGGUGAAAUUCUUA